GAUGAAGAACGUAGCGAAAUGCGAUAAGUAGUGUGAAUUGCAGAAUUCAGUGAAUCAUCGAAUCUUUGAACGCACAUUGCGCCCCUUGGUAUUCCAUGGGGCAUGCCUGUUCGAGCGUCAUCUACACCCUCAAGCUCUGCUUGGUGUUGGGCGUCUGUCCCGCCUUUGCGCGCGGACUCGCCCCAAAUUCAUUGGCAGCGGUUGCCUCCUCUCGCGCAGCACAAUUGCGCUUCUUGAGGAGUGCGGGCCGCGUCCACGAAGCAACAUUACCGUCUUUGACCUCGGAUCAGGUAGGGAUACCCGCUGAACUUAAGCAUAUCAAUAAGCGGAGGA
rnacentral:misc_RNA from 1 species